rnacentral:tRNA from 1 species
GGGAUUGUAGCUCAGAGGUAGAGUACUUGCCUAGAAUGUAUGAGGUACUGGGUUUGAUUCUCAGUACCA